UUAUAUCAGUAUUGGUAUGCAGCAACUC
rnacentral:sRNA from 1 species